UUGAACUUGGAAUGAUCUUUCAGCUGGAGAACAAACACAAUGUCUCCUGUGACAGUAUCCGGCUGCAAGCAUUCACCCGUUUAAACCAUAAGAGACAAAGAUUUGCUUAAACAAAUAAAGCUCCAGCUAUAACAUGUAUUAAAUAAUUCUACACAACAGGAGAAAAAUGAUCUAACGAAAGCAAAGAGAUAAAAGAUCAUACUGCUUCAUCAGCUUCGCCAGGGAAGGUAAUCUUUUGACCAUUUUGCAUUCCCUUCUCAACUACAACCUCCAGCACUUUCUUCUCUGGGACAACUUUCUCACCUUUGCAUUGCGGGCAGCGAUCCUUCUCAUUGAUAGUCUCCCCGGUACCCCUGCACUCAUUGCAUGGUUGCUGCAUCUGCUGAAUCAUGCCAGGCCCAAUCUGACGAAUAGUGACCCUCAUACCAGAACCCUGACAACCAGAGCACUUCAUUGAAGCACCGGAUUUUGAACCCUUGCUGCAUAAGUGUAACAAAAAAUGAGAACAAUUAUCCGAAUCUUGGAAACUCAUGUUCUGGGUAUGAAAGGUAACUCACCCCUUGCACUUCUGGCAGAUGACAUUUCGUGACAGUGAAAGUUUCUUGGAAGUUCCAUUGUAAAGGUCUUCCAAAGACACCUUCAGAGGAUGGAUCACAUCCUCCCCUCUCCUCUGCCUUCGACCCCUGCUGCUUCCUCCUCCUCCUGUUACAAAAAACAUGACAGCAAAAAGUUCAUAGAGCAUCUCAAGCAUAAGCAAACCACAAUUUUUUGAUACCAGAAGACAACAGUACAUCAUAGACAAUUACAUCAAUGAACGAGC
rnacentral:lncRNA from 1 species